GACGAACGCUGGCGGUGUGCUUAACACAUGCAAGUGGUGCGACGAACCAGAGCUUGCUCUGGGGCAAAGCCGCGAACGGGUGAGUAACACGUGGGUAAUCUACCCCGAUGACCGGGACAACCCGAGGAAACUCGGGCUAAUACCGGAUGUGGUGCGGAGACAUAAGUCUCUUCACUAAAGGUAGCUUCGGCUUCCGCAUUGGGAGGGGCCCGCGGCCCAUUAGCUUGUUGGUGGGGUCAAGGCCUACCAAGGCAACGAUGGGUAGCUGGUCUGAGAGGACGAUCAGCCACACUGGGACUGAGACACGGCCCAGACUCCUACGGGAGGCAGCAGUGGGGAAUCUUGCGCAAUGCGCGAAAGCGUGACGCAGCAACACCGCGUGAGGGAAGAAGGCCUUAGGGUUGUAAACCUCUUUCAGAUGGGACGAAGGUUCUCCGGUGAAUAGCCGAGAGGAUUGACAGUACCGUCAGAAGAAGCUCCGGCUAACUACGUG
rnacentral:rRNA from 1 species